CGAAAAGCUCCGAUCACAGUCCGCGCACUUGAAUGGCUUCACUCCCGUGUGUUUGCGGUAAUGCCUCGUCAGUUCAUCCGAGCGAGCGAACUUCCAGGAAGAGUGAAAUCAAAUUUCUAUCUUCAAUCAGCAACAGACUGAUGUUUUCUUCUCCUGUGAAGAAGUAGAUUGUAGGUCACCUUGGGAGACCUUGUAUUUAAAUUUAGAAAAAUUAUGCAGCUGAAGAUGAAACAUCUGCCUGCCUCCCCUUUUUUACACAGGUUUGGGCUCAGGAAUGUUGCAGACCGCAUGAAAUCUGCAGGCCACAUGUUUGAUACCUGGCUUUGUACUCAACUGCUUAUUCAUUUGCAUCCAUGCGUUAUGUCCCUAACAGAAUAAUAUCUCCUUGAGAGCAGGGACUGUUUCUUUGCUUUGCAUUAACUGUGCCUAGAACUGUGCUUCCCAUACAGUUGUUAUUUAAUAAACAUUUAUUUAAUUCAA